GUGGGGAAUAUUGGACAAUGGGCGAAAGCCUGAUCCAGCCAUGCCGCGUGUGUGAAGAAGGUCUUCGGAUUGUAAAGCACUUUAAGUUGGGAGGAAGGGCAGUAAGUUAAUACCUUGCUGUUUUGACGUUACCGACAGAAUAAGCACCGGCUAACUUCGUGCCAGCAGCCGCGGUAAUACGAAGGGUGCAAGCGUUAAUCGGAAUUACUGGGCGUAAAGCGCGCGUAGGUGGUUUUGUAAGUUGAAGGUGAAAUCACCGGGCUCAACCUGGGAACUGCCUCCAAAACUGCAUGACUAGAGUACGGUAGAGGGUAGUGGAAUUUCCUGUGUAGCGGUGAAAUGCGUAGAUAUAGGAAGGAACACCAGUGGCGAAGGCGACUACCUGGACUGAUACUGACACUGAGGUGCGAAAGCGUGGGGAGCAAACAGGAUUAGAUACCCGGGUAGUCC
rnacentral:rRNA from 1 species